GGAGCUAUGACUUAAUGGUAGAACAUCUGCUUGGGACGCAGAAGGUCCUAGGUUCAAUUCCCAGCACCUCCA
rnacentral:tRNA from 1 species